rnacentral:lncRNA from 1 species
AGUAACUGUCUGCUCUCCGUUCUGUUGGUAUCCACUCUGCUUUAUCGAACUUUCCUAGCAGGCGAGAAUCGAUCUUUUUUUAAGGCUGGAAGACCACUGUUUUACGGGCUCGAACCGGCACGGCUGCCGCCAUGGCCGGACCUCAGGCAGAGAUCUGUCUCGCUGCCCAACGCUGUUCGUCCCGUUUGUUUCCGGAGAUCCAAUCUGGACUUAAGGGACUUUCCUGUGGUCAAUUUCUUGCGCUUUUUUUACAUCCACCGAACAACUCUGUGCUUAGAGACCACGACGGCUUUCGGCACGGAACAAUGUACCUGCCUGCUGCGGAACAGACCUCACUCAAAAAGUCUUCCACUAUGGUCAGUGAGCUACACUGCUGAACAAAAUCUGUGGGCAGGAACGUUCAUCCUCCACCGGACUCCUUCCUGUGUACUAGUAUUUCUACAUGUGAAUCACUCUGCGUCGGAGAUUGUCGUGGGUCGCUAGUGAAAUACAAGGGUCACUGCGUCAAACGAGGCUUCUUAGGUAUCUCGGGUAACCAAGAGGUGAGGGUCACAAGACACUCAAACGAGAAAGAGUUAUUGACGAG